CGCCUACGGGACGCAGCAGUGGGGAAUAUUGCACAAUGGGCGAAAGCCUGAUGCAGCAACGCCGCGUGAAGGAAGAAGGCCUUCGGGUCGUAAACUUCUGUCCUUGGGGAAGAAGAACUGACGGUACCCAAGGAGGAAGCCCCGGCUAACUACGUGCCAGCAGCCGCGGUAAUACGUAGGGGGCAAGCGUUAUCCGGAUUUACUGGGUGUAAAGGGAGCGUAGGCGGCAAGGUAAGCCAGAAGUGAAAGCCCGCGGCUCAACUGCGGGACUGCUUUUGGAACUAUCUAGCUAGAUUGUAGGAGAG
rnacentral:rRNA from 1 species